AGUGAACGCUGGCGGUAGGCCUAACACAUGCAAGUCGAACGGCAGCACAGUAAGAGCUUGCUCUUACGGGUGGCGAGUGGCGGACGGGUGAGGAAUACAUCGGAAUCUACUUUUUCGUGGGGGAUAACGUAGGGAAACUUACGCUAAUACCGCAUACGACCUACGGGUGAAAGCAGGGGAUCUUCGGACCUUGCGCGAUUGAAUGAGCCGAUGUCGGAUUAGCUAGUUGGCGGGGUAAAGGCCCACCAAGGCGACGAUCCGUAGCUGGUCUGAGAGGAUGAUCAGCCACACUGGAACUGAGACACGGUCAAGACUCCUACGGGAGGCAGCAGUGGGGAAUAUUGGACAAUGGGCGCAAGCCUGAACCAGCCAUACCGCGUGGGUGAAGAAGGCCUUCGGGUUGUAAAGCCCUUUUGUUGGGAAAGAAAAGCAGCAGGUUAAUACCCCGCUGUUCUGACGGUACCCAAAGAAUAAGCACCGGCUAACUUCGUG
rnacentral:rRNA from 1 species